GAGGACCCUCCGGUCACAGGGAGGAAGAGCAGCACACAGCCACAGCGGACAGCGUUGGGUCCAGACUAAUUAGAACGUGCCACAGGAACUCCAGAUGCUUUAAAGCUAUGUGGAGCCAGGAAAUGUCUGUCUACACAAACUAACCCUGAUCACAUUACUACACAAAUGUCCUGGUGGCUUCACCCCAGCGUUGCUAUUGCAUUUGUGUUUUCGGAUGUACUUCCUGAGGAUUAGAGCGCUGUUUCUGAUCUGUCUCUUCAAACCUCCAGGUAUGUGCUCAUAGAGGCUGGGCUGCGAAAUCUUCUCUCCAGCCGGAACGGAAGCAGCUUCACCUCCAAGGAACAAUAGGAACAUGAGUGAUGAAAUCAGAGGGCCAUGCUGAGCUGGUCCCACCCUUCGCUGGCCUUGGGAAAGCUGGCCCUAAUCCUCACUGUACACUGCAGCAAGAUAGCUGCUCCCCAACUCGGGAGAGAUGACCCCAUCCCUUACCACGGGCAAGAGAGAACUGACCCUGAAGACCUGGGCUAUGGGAGCUGGCUCUGCCCCUUGCCUGAGGCAAGUGGCCUCAGUGGCCCCUGCUGACCAGCUCAGCUACCACCCAAGCCCACGACCCGGCCUUGUGUUGGUCUACUCUGGCAUCUACCACAUCUAGGACCUGCUGGAGCUCCUGAAGGAUCUGGUCCUAUGGAAGGACACCCGCAGCAUCUCCAUGACUUGGGCUGGCCAAGAUAUCCAAGAGGAGUUAUGGUGAGAUUUAGUGGUGAUGGUGCGCCGGAAACCAGAGGCCUUGACCCCUACCAAUGAACAUUUGCUAGUAAGGCUGGUUGGACAAAAGGGUCCACUGACGCUCCCAUUGAAGAGGUGUUGAAGAGGCCGGAAAGAUGAAGAGAGAGGUUUCUUUGUGUGCUUGUUUUGGUUUGAUUUUUUUUGUUUUUAAAUUUUGUUGGGGGAUGCUUCAGGAGUGAGGGAGGUUAUGGGGGGACUGGGAGGUGAG